rnacentral:tRNA from 9 species
CGGAGCGUGGCGCAGCCUGGUAGCGCACUUGCAUGGGGUGCAAGGGGUCGGAGGUUCGAAUCCUCUCGCUCCGACCA